rnacentral:rRNA from 1 species
CCUACGGGUGGCAGCAGUGAGGAAUAUUGGUCAAUGGACGAGAGUCUGAACCAGCCAAGUAGCGUGAAGGAUGACUGCCCUACGGGUUGUAAACUUCUUUUAUAAGGGAAUCAAGUGAUGCACGUGUGGCUUUUUGUAUGUACCUUAUGAAUAAGGAUCGGCUAACUCCGUGCCAGCAGCCGCGGUAAUACGGAGGAUCCGAGCGUUAUCCGGAUUUAUUGGGUUUAAAGGGAGCGUAGAUGGGUUGUUAAGUCAGUUGUGAAAGUUUGCGGCUCAACCGUAAAAUUGCAGUUGAUACUGGCAGUCUUGAGUACAGUAGAGGUGGGCGGAAUUCGUGGUGUAGCGGUGAAAUGCUUAGAUAUCACGAAGAACUCCGAUUGCGAAGGCAGCUUACUAGACUGCAACUGACACUGAGGCUCGAAAGUGUGGGUAUCAAACAGGAUUAGAUACCCGGGUAGUC